ACGGGAGGCAGCAGUGGGGAAUAUUGCACAAUGGGCGCAAGCCUGAUGCAGCCAUGCCGCGUGUGUGAAGAAGGCCUUCGGGUUGUAAAGCACUUUCAGUCGUGAGGAAGGUAGUGUAGUUAAUAGCUGCAUUAUUUGACGUUAGCGACAGAAGAAGCACCGGCUAACUCCGUGCCAGCAGCCGCGGUAAUACGGAGGGUGCGAGCGUUAAUCGGAAUUACUGGGCGUAAAGCGCAUGCAGGUGG
rnacentral:rRNA from 1 species